CUGUGCUGCCAGGUCUCAAAUAUGAGAUUAUCACGUGAGAAGCUCAAAAUGAUGGUAUUUGCUGCAAAACCGUCCUUUAGAAAAGUGCCUUCAACUCCAUCUUCCUUGCGAUGUCCAGCAUUUUGCCUUCAGAUGCCCUCGGCCGAAGAAUUCUGUGUGAUGCGGAAUAUGCAACUGUGCAGUAUGUGGGCAGUGUGCCACCUACCAAAGGAAUUUGGAUUGGAGUGGAGUGGGAUAAUCCCCAAAGAGGAAAGCAUGAUGGUAAUCAUGAAGGAAUACGGUAUUUUAAAUGCAGGCAUCCUACAGGGGGGUCCUUUAUCCGUCCAGACAAGGUAAAUUUUGGUGUAGGUUUUCUUACUGCAGUGAAGAACCGCUAUGGAUUGAACGAUGAACAAGAUGUGGCAUAUGGGAAAGACAAUGCAUUAGUCCUUGGAAAGAAAACUGUGGAACUUGUUGGCUUUGACUCAGUUUUAGAGGAACAAAGUCAGCUGAACAAAUUGGAAAACAUCUCAGUGAGAGAAUGUGCAGUGAGCCACGCAGGUCAGAAGGAGGAAAUUAGCAGAACGUGUCCUAAUAUCAAGAGUAUAGACUUAUCAAAAAAUCUGUUGUCAUCGUGGGAAACAGUGAUAGAUAUCGCUAGUGAGGUACAGAAUCUGGAAAUACUGCAUCUCAGUGAAAACAAAAUGAAAUUUCCAUCUGCUGCAACCCCUGUAUGUGGUACGUUUGACAAGUUGAGAGUUCUGACACUUAAUCGAACUGGAGUAACAUGGGUGGAGGUUCUUCUGUGUGCUCCAGGGUGGCCAGCACUUGAAGAAUUGUACCUUGCAUCUAAUGAUAUUACAGUUUUAGAAAGGCCCACUAAUGUUUUACAGACCCUGAAAUUGCUAGACCUUUCAAGCAACCAAUUAAUUGAUGGAAAUCAGCUGCAUCUAAUAGCACAUCUCCCCAGAUUAGAAAAACUAAUACUUUCAGACACUGGAAUUUCUUCUGUACACUUUCCUGAUGCUGGAUUUGGGUGCAAGACAAAAAUGUUUCCUUCGCUGAAACAUCUUGUAGUAGAUAACAACAAAAUAUCACAGUGGUCAUUUGUCAAUGAACUCGAUAAACUGCAAAGUCUGGAGUCGCUGCACUGUUGGAAUAACCCUUUGGGCCCAGAGAAAAGCCCUGAGACACUGAGACAGCUAAUCAUUGCCAAAAUAGGUCAGCUGAAAUUCUUAAACAAAUCUGAGAUCCUUCCUCAGGAAAGAAAGGGAGCAGAGCUUGACUAUCGCAAAAUGUUUGGAAAUGAAUGGCUCGCAGCUGGCGGGCAUCAGGACCCUGACAAAAACAGACCCCAAGAGGAGUUCCUUGCUGCCCAUCCCAGAUACCAGUUACUUUGCCUUACCCUUGGCUCUGCUGGAGCAGCAGCUGGGCUCCUGGACUGUAGAAAACAGGAGGCCUAAAUCCUCAAAGGGACUUGGCCACUGUUAACAUGUUCAGACUGCUGCUCCGCUGCGGCCGAACCCAUGAACUUGCCCAGAUGUGGCAUGUGCAGAGCUGUCUGUCCAGUGCCGUCACUGCACAGGUCAGGGCCCUGGCAGCCCUGAAACAGGAUUUUCUCGAAGGGCCCAGUCCUGUAGAUGUGUUUAGAAUAUGCUGGUGCGUCCUGCUCAAGAUGCGCUUGUGGCUUCACAUGCUCCUGAGAUAUGGGAGACCAAGAUUCAUGUCCUAAUUGCAGACCUUGUUCACUGGGUGUCUAAGUGGGAGGAUAGGGCAGUCUCUGGUGUGUGGGAGACAGGGUCAAGUCCCCGCUUCAGUAAAUCUGUAUUUAUACAAACUGAAACAUCAGCAAAUCUGAGACCUGCUCUGAAUAUCUGGUGUUUUGGUGGGUUUAGGGCACUUGUCUGAGAGCUGGCUUCAGAUUCCUGCUCUGAAUUGGUCAAGCAAGGAGUGGACCCUGCGGGUCCCAUGUGCCAGGGGAGUAUUUUCAACUCCUGGCUACCGCACGUUCUGUGGUGGAGCGAUCUCCCCCUCGUUCCAUUGCUGCAUUGCAUAGGGGACCCUCGCUUAGGGCUGCAGACUCCAGCAAGUGACAGGGUGGGAGGUUGCAUUGUUGGGUUUUGCAUAGUCUGUGUCGCAGAACCUUUUGAUGAGUGGAGUCCUUGCCCCUAAGGGAAGUGUAACAGUGAGGGGCAGUAGAGUUCUGUACUAGUGGGAUGAUCCCAGGGACCAGGUUAUCCCAUAAAAGAUUAGUGGGUGAUUUCUCUCUGCACUUACAUUAGAGAGAGAGUUUAGCUGAAACAUUUAUCUGCAGAACUUUUUCUUUGCUUUUCCUGCUUUAUCUCAUUUGACUAAGAGGUGUGUGUGUGUUGUUUUUUAUAGAGUAUGGUGCUCCUGAAGAAGGGGAACUGAAAGCGCAACAGCCUUUCACUCUGAAAAAUCAGUUACUAACUGUGACAAUUAAGUGUCCUGAUAAACCUG